rnacentral:misc_RNA from 1 species
CGAAAUUCAAAAGCUGUUCGAGGAAGGUCGCUUCCGCGAUCCGAAUCCGAACUCGCACGAGCCAGGUUUCCGCAAGCCGCACAAGGUGGCGUUCGAGUACGUCCAGGUUGAUUUUGCGCCGUUCCUGGAAGCCGCCCAGAAGCAGAUCACCGACGA